AGCACGAAUAUUAGAGCAGGGAGAUCAGCCAUGUCACCCUUUUUUUGUUCGGAAAAUAAACGCCUCGUCACGAACGCCCGUCAGAUCUUAUCCUCUUCCCCCACCGCCCAUUCUACAUCCCACCCAGCACACUCAGGAGAGCGACCAUGCGGCGGUGACGUCGGAGACGAGGCAGGUGGCGGCGGAGACCAGGAAAGUAGUUCACUGUCUCGCAGCUCCACUGGGACCAACAUCGUGGUGUCAAGCGGCGGAGACGAGCGGGCUGUGCCGUCUCCGAGGGCGGGCAGAGAACUCGACGACGAGGGCGUCGAGCUUGAGCCAGGCGAGUGGAGGCGGCGCUACGUGCGGCGGGCGGUAAACUCGGCGACGAUAGCAUUGAGCUUGAGUCAGGCGAGCGGAGGCGGCGCUACACACGACGGGCGGCGAACUCGGCGACAAGGGCAUGUACACCUCCGGCUUGUGCACCAGCAGCUGCUUUGAAAGGAGGCGUGGGUCAACGGAGCGCUGGCGGGGGUGGCCAAUUCACAGGAUCGCACUGAGAAGGUUGGCGGUGUGAAAGUUUAAGAUGAUGAGCUCGACGUUGCUAUCGUUGGUGGAGGCAUGGUGGGCUUGGCUGUUUGCUUGUGUAGUGUAAGAUGCCGCCAAAUCCUAUGUAUCGCUCGUUGCGGCAAAUUAUCACCAGAAGGCACGCGCGAACGCACCAGCGAGAGCAAGUGGGCCGCCCAUUUAGGGUACACAGAGGCAUUCCGGCUCGUGUUUUAGUACCGGUUUGGGGGAACCUUCUAGAAGCAUUCUAAACUGUUUCUUUUUUGUUGUUUUCUGAUUAUUUCUUUAUUGGGUUUUCUGAUUAUUUCUUUAUUUCUUUAUUGCCGUAAUGCCUCUCCUCUAUCUCGCCGGCCACCGUGAGCUUGCCGCACCUCGCUGGACAGCGCAGUCCCGUUCUACCUCACCAGACAACGCAGCCCACGACCACCCUUGCUUCAUGACAAGGAUGCAGAUGCAGGCAAGUAGGCGGCGUCGGCAUGGUGGCCACGGAGGAUGAAGGCAAGCCACGCGGGUGGUGGCGCUACCUCGUGCUCAUCCUCGACCUCCUCUUCUCUACUGCCUGGGAGCACGUGGUCCGGGUGCGCGGGCGAGGGAUCCCAGUCCAGGGGUGGCGCACGAGGAAAAGCUCUAGAGCGCGUCGAUCAUCUCCAUCUGGUGCACAUAGCAGCUGGACGAGGCAGCACCACGGGCACACCGGCGCAGGGCUUGCUCAGCAGCCGUCAACGGCGUGGCACACGUGCAUGACCCACGGGAGCAACCACCACUGUUCGGCAAUGCACGACACACGUAGUGCAGGCUAGAUGUUUGAUGAAAUAUCUAAAUAAGCCAAUGAGAAAGGAAAAAGGUAGGAGAGGGGAAUACCGCCACCUGGACGAAGACCGGUCAAAACCGCAUUCAGUCAGCAGCGAUACCAAGUGAGCCGAGAUAAGGGACUAAAUUUGCCCGGUUUCAAAAGUUGGAGGUGCAAGUUGUCCGGUUUUGAAGUUGGGGGACUAAAUCUAGACUAUGUCAAGAAUUGAAGGACGAAAAGUAUAUUUUUCUCUUGGGUUUUAAAUUUU